GUGGGGAAUUUUGGACAAUGGGCGCAAGCCUGAUCCAGCGACGCCGCGUGGAGGACGAAGGCCUUCGGGUUGUAAACUCCUUUUGGAGGGGAAGAAUAAAUUGACGGUACCCUCAGAAAAAGCCACGGCUAACUACGUGCCAGCAGCCGCGGUAAUACGUAGGUGGCGAGCGUUACUCGGAAUUACUAGGUGUAAAGCGUAUGUAGGUGGUUAGAUAAGUCUAUGGUGAAAUUUCCUGGCUCAACUGGGAAGGGUACAUAGAUACUGUCUGGCUUGAGUGUGGGAGGGGAAGACGGAAUUCCUGGUGUAGCGGUGAAAUGCGUAGAUAUCAGGAGGAACACCGAUGGCGAAAGCAGUCUUCUGGCCCAAUACUGACACUGAGGUACGAAAGCUAGGGUAGCAAACAGGAUUAGAAACCCUUGUAGUCC
rnacentral:rRNA from 1 species